rnacentral:rRNA from 1 species
UGACCUACGGGAGGCAGCAGUGGGGGAUAUUGGACAAUGGGGGGAACCCUGAUCCAGCGACGCCGCGUGAGUGAAGAAGUAUUUCGGUAUGUAAAGCUCUGUCAGCAGGGAAGAAAGCAAUGACGGUACCUGACCAAGAAGCCCCGGCUAACUACGUGCCAGCAGCCGCGGUAAUACGUAGGGGGCAAGCGUUAUCCGGAUUUACUGGGUGUAAAGGGAGCGUAGGCGGCCAUGCAAGUCAGAAGUGAAAACCCGGGGCUCAACCCUGGGAGUGCUUUUGAAACUGUGCGGCUAGAGUGUCGGAG